rnacentral:lncRNA from 1 species
UCAGGUCUGUUUGCUGGAGGAGGAAGAUCGUGUGUAGGGUAACUGGAAGUCAUAUAGGAAGAACAUGAUGGUGGAAUGCUAACAUUAUCAUGGAACUGAGACGGUGGCAGAAUAUCUGCAGAAUACUCACUGCUAACAUUAUCAUGGAACUGAGACGGUGGCAGAAUAUCUGCAGAAUACUGGCUGUUAACAUUAGUGUGGAACUGAGAUGGUGGCAGAAUAUCUGUAGAGUGCUGUCUGUUAAUGUCAUCUUGGAACUGAUGUGGAGGCCGAAUUUCAGAAGAAUGCUGAUUAACUUUGUUAUGGAACUGAGGUGAUGGAUCAGGUUCUGUCCU